rnacentral:rRNA from 1 species
UACAGAGGGGGCAAGCGUUGUUCGGAAUUACUGGGCGUAAAGGGCGCGUAGGCGGCCUUCUAAGUCAGACGUGAAAUCCCCGGGCUCAACCCGGGAACUGCGUCCGAUACUGGAAGGCUUGAAUCCGGGAGAGGGAUGUGGAAUUCCAGGUGUAGCGGUGAAAUGCGCAGAUAUCGGGAGGAACACCUAUGGCGAAGGCAGCUCGCUGGGACGUUACUGACGCUGAGACGCGAAAGCGUGGGGAGCAAACAGG